GAAGGGGGAACCAGCUACGCCACCACGCCUCUGUCGCCGGGAAAUGCUGCUGCCACUGCCGAGAUCCACUGUCGCUCUGUUUCUGUGUUUUCCCUUUGUUACAGAUUGAUUCCUGGUUGUUGCAUGUCGCGUUUGGGGUUGCCGCCGUUGCUGCGACGGUGGAAUGGGCUGUAGUUGUGACUGCUAAGGGUAUAGGCCAAGAGGAAACGGAAUUUGUCACGUAAUUAAAUCGUGAAUGAGGUAGGGGUGAUUUCUUAAACUUAAUUCACUACUAAGAAUUGUUUGAAGUCGAUAUUAAUAAGAAAAAUAUAUUUUUAUGA